CCUACGGGGGGCAGCAGUAAGGGAUAUUGGUCAAUGGGGGAAACCCUGAACCAGCAACGCCGCGUGAGGGAAGACUGCCCUAUGGGUUGUAAACUUCUUUUAUAUGGGAAUAAAAUGUUCCACGUGUGGGAUUUUGUAUGUACCAUAUGAAUAAGGAUCGACUAACUCCGUGCCAGCAGCCGCGGUAAUACGGAGGAUCCGAGCGUUAUCCGGAUUUAUUGGGUUUAAAGGGAGCGUAGGUGGAUUGUUAAGUCAGUUGUGAAAGUUUGCGGCUCAACCGUAAAAUUGCAGUUGAAACUGGCAGUCUUGAGUACAGUAGAGGUGGGCGGAAUUCGUGGUGUAGCGGUGAAAUGCUUAGAUAUCACGAAGAACUCCGAUUGCGAAGGCAGUUCACUGGACUGCAACUGACACUGAGGCUCGAAAGUGUGGGUAUCAAACAGGAUUAGAUACCCUGGUAGUC
rnacentral:rRNA from 1 species